rnacentral:lncRNA from 1 species
UUAAUAAUAUUUUAAAUGGGUUGGGUGCCAACGCAUUUUGUAGGGGUGGAGAUCGUUUGUGCCAGCGCAUUUUUUAGGGGUGGGGAAGCAUUUGGCCAAUUUAUUGUUCAUGGGGUCUAUCACUGUUCACUGAGUGGAUUAAGCACUGAUUUGGUACUGAGGUGCUUUUAUAAAAAAAGUGGGUAUAAAAAAAAUUGAGCUCGAAAAGGUAUUUGAUAAACACUUAAAAAGAGCUUAAUUUCACAGUUUUUGGUGAAAAAAAACUGAAAGCGUGAAGCAACAAAAAUAAGCUUAUUCUCACAGCAUAACAGAAGCAGUUUUUUUUCAAAGCACAUCAAUACCAAACCAACCCUAAAUGGGCUGAGUGCCAACGUAUUUUUUUAGAGGUGGACUUGCUCUUAGUAUAGACAUGUAAAGUAUUAAAACUCGUUGCAGCAUCAAUAAUAAGGACAAUAUUGGUUAUAAAUAAAUUUGGUAGAUCUAUAAGAAUACAUAUGUGUAUUAAGUGACACCAACAUGUGUAGUAAGUGAUACAAGAAUAUAUCUAUCGUAUGUUCUCGUAUAUAUCAUGAUGGUAAAUUUAAGCGAUCGAAUUCUAAUUAACAUAAAAUCAAUCAGAAAAUGAGUGGGGAACCCAAAAUCUUAUGUCACGUUAUUAUGUUUGGCGAUCUCAACAUAUCGUACAUAUGUAAGUCUCGUAAAGUCUCUAUUAAGCGUGGUCCUUAGUCCAGAAAUACACACACAUAAUGUACAUCUUUAGCUUCAUUCAAUAAAAAAAAAUCUACAUCUUUUGCUAGACCCGGCAAGGCAAGGGGGAAAACUUCCCAGCAUGCAGCAGCAGCAUGUUAGCUGUAGCCCACGCCCGCAUGGAUCGAUGGGCAACCAUCCCUAUCAGCUGCUGCUGCUCAUCGGGCAACCAUCCCUAUCAGCUGCUGCUGCUCAUCUAUGUAAUGAAAAUCUCAGUU